GAUGAACGCUAGCGGCAGGCCUAACACAUGCAAGUCGAGGGAGGAGCCUUCGGGCUUCGACCGGCGUACGGGUGCGUAACGCGUAUACAAUCUGCCUUUCACAUAGGGAUAGCCCGAAGAAAUUUGGAUUAAUACCUAAUGGUAUAUAGGGGUGGCAUCACCUUUAUAUUAAAGCUGAGGCGGUGAAAGAUGAGUAUGCGUUCUAUUAGCUAGUUGGAGAGGUAACGGCUCCCCAAGGCGACGAUAGAUAGGGGUUCUGAGAGGGAUAUCCCCCACACUGGUACUGAGAUACGGACCAGACUCCUACGGGAGGCAGCAGUGAGGAAUAUUGGACAAUGGUCGGAAGACUGAUCCAGCCAUGCCGCGUGCAGGAAGACGGCCUUAUGGGUUGUAAACUGCUUUUGCAGGGGAAGAAUAAGGAGUACGUGUACUUUGAUGACGGUACUCUGCGAAUAAGCAUCGGCUAACUCCGUGCCAGCAGCCGCGGUAAUACGGAGGAUGCGAGCGUUAUCCGGAAUCAUUGGGUUUAAAGGGUCCGUAGGCGGGCUAAUAAGUCAGAGGUGAAAGCGCUCAGCUCAACUGAGCAACUGCCUUUGAAACUGUUAGUCUUGAAUGGUUGUGAAGUAGUUGGAAUGUGUAGUGUAGCGGUGAAAUGCUUAGAUAUUACACAGAACACCGAUAGCGAAGGCAUAUUGCUAACAAUUAAUUGACGCUGAUGGACGAAAGCGUGGGGAGCGAACAGG
rnacentral:rRNA from 1 species